rnacentral:lncRNA from 1 species
UUGAUAACAAGCCUAUUAUAAGUAGUUUUUCCCUAUUUUGAAAAAACGGUUUAUUUGCAAACCUUUAAAAAUCGAUAGUUUAAAACGUAGCAAUAUUAAUCACCAACAUUCUCGUCUCAUUCCAAUCCAAAUUGUAAUUAUAAAAUCUACUCAUACCAAGAAAUAUGAAUCACCCAAUGACACAUCUCCAUUAACCGGGAGCACGGUGUAUUCGAAUACAAUAUAACUCUACAGCGUCUAUCCAGCUUCACCCACACAAUAUCACGACUGGAUUAGCACCGCCCAGUGGGAUAUUGUCCGUCCUAGCAGUCGGACACUCACUCAGCCACAAGUAAGGCAUAGUAAGGUCGCUGAUUUCAAGAGUGACACUGUUGUGAGAUCAUGUCAACUUGGCCCGCGGCCUCUUAUACAUGUCCACUCCUAUAUGCUCCUAGAGCAUCUAACAGUCGUUCA